rnacentral:rRNA from 1 species
UGCAAGUAGAACGCUGAAGAGUAGGAGCUUGCUCUUCUUGGAUGAGUUGCGAACGGGUGAGUAACGCGUAGGUAACCUGCCUUGUAGCGGGGGAUAACUAUUGGAAACGAUAGCUAAUACCGCAUAACAAUGGAUGACACAUGUCAUUUAUUUGAAAGGAGCAAUUGCUCCACUACAAGAUGGACCUGCGUUGUAUUAGCUAGUAGGUGAGGUAAUGGCUCACCUAGGCGACGAUACAUAGCCGACCUGAGAGGGUGAUCGGCCACACUGGGACUGAGACACGGCCCAGACUCCUACGGGAGGCAGCAGUAGGGAAUCUUCGGCAAUGGGGGCAACCCUGACCGAGCAACGCCGCGUGAGUGAAGAAGGUUUUCGGAUCGUAAAGCUCUGUUGUAAGUCAAGAACGGGUGUGAGAGUGGAAAGUUCACACUGUGACGGUAGCUUACCAGAAGGGGACGGCUAACUACGUGCCAGCAGCCGCGGUAUUACGUAGGUCCCGAGCGUUGUCCCGAUUU